UCUUUUACUCAUUUAAUAUUUUUUCCUAUAUCUCGUAUAUAAUCUUAACAACCAAAUAAAAAUUAUAACAAAUCACAUAUGAUUUUAACAACCUAAAUAUCCUAAUAAUCUAUCCAUAUAAUCCUAACAAUCAAAUAAAAAUUCUAAUAAUUCAUAUAUGAUUCUAAAAAUCUCUUUUUUUUUUUCUAUCUUCCAUCUAACAACCUUAUAUUUUUCUGUACCUGUACGUCGGUUAUAUGGAAAAUAGAAAAAAGUGAGGUUGUUAGAUGAAAAAUAAAAAAAAAAUGAGGUCUUUAGGAUUAUACGUGGAUUAUAUGGAAAAGAGAAAGAGGUGAGAUUUUUCAUAUGAAAUCUUUAUUUGAUUGUUAGAAUUGUAUGGAUAAAUUAUUAGGAUUUUCAGAUUGUUAAGAUUAUAUAUGAUUUGUUGUAAUUUUUAUAUUAGAAUUGUAUGGAUAGAUUAUUAGGAUUUUCAUGUUGUUCAGAUUAUAUGUGAUUUAUUAUAAUUUUUAUGUGGUUGUUAAGAUUGUAUAUAGGAUAUAGAAAAAAUAUUAAAUAAGCAAAAUAUGGUGAACCAUUCACCGUCUUUGAUAAUUACAUUAGUACUGAAGGCGGUGAACGAUUCACUGCUUUUAUAAAAAAUUUAUUACUACUGAAAACGGUGAACGAUUUACCGCUUUCAUAAAAAAAUUUCACCUGUGUGCCUACGUGGCAAGAAGAGGGUUAGUUUUACAAAUAUUAUUUUGCAAGAGUCAUUUAGCCAAUUUUAAAGUUCUAGAGGGUUAGUUUAUAAAAAGGUCCAAUAUUUACACUGCUCGGAUCUUAUUUUCCUUUUUCCUCAUUAUUUUACAAGGGUUAAUUACACCAUUUAUUCCUUUGCGGUAUAUUUUUAAUUUGAUUUCCAUUUUCUUUUUUUUCUUUUUUUUCUUUUUUUUCUUUUUUUGCAAUCGAGUUCAAUCUUUUGAUUUCAUUUCAAUUAAUUCUCGACUAUUAGAGACACCGAGAUGCCGUGUCAACGUCAUGAAGGUGUUGUGUCAGCGCCAACAAAUUAUACAAUUUAAAUUUACAAGCUACUGCUAUUAUAUCAAUAGUAGCCAACUACUCUGUCAUGCCCGCCGUCCAUUCCCCAAAUAGGUGGAAGAAGCCCCGCACGGGUUCGUGCGCCAGACCUGCCGAAUUAACAGAGUUUUUCUUAUCCGUCCAAGGCACCAUAAUCGGUACAAUUCAAAACAUUCCAAAUAGGAAUAGAAUCCAUACACAGAUUGUAUAAGAAAAGCAUCAUAAACAUGAAUCAUCUAUGCUAUUACAAGCAUUCGUCUCAUUCAAAUUACAUAUUAUUUUUUCUUUCCAAAUACAAUCAAAUUAUUAUUACAAUUUCUCUCUCUCCUCUAUAUACCCUUUAAGCUAUACUGUUCAGGAUACAUCCUUCUUUGUUACAAUGGCAAGACGCUAACUAUUGAGUCACGUCCUUUCCUCAAGCCGCCGCCCCGCUCAUGUGUUGACCAACAAAAUAUGGGGGUGGGAACUAUAAAUAUAGUUUCCAAUUGGUACAGCCACCCAAGGGAAGAGCUCGCGACCUACCAUGUCCAAAUGAGACAAUUAUCAGGUUAGUAUACAACAAGUAACUAUAUAAGCAUAUAACUUUACUAUAUACAAAUAACAAAACAUUCAUACUUAGCUCAAGUAAAUGCGAUAAUAAAAUCAUACAUGUAAGUUAUUUUCUAUUUCUACUUACUAUUUCACUAUCCAUUUUAAUUCCAAUCCACUCCUAAUGUUUCUUUUACUUUAGCCGAGCUAUACCACCCAACUCAUUCUUGAGUCAAUCAUCAGCGGAAUACCACUAUUUGUCCAAGCCUGAGGAAGGGACACACCACAUGCACCUCAUCCUUCAAUCCACUCGACUUUAGGACAUCCAUCAGGCGAAUUUUAAAAUUUCUGAAAUAACUCUCUCCAAAUUAUAGUUGUAAAACUAACCCUCCUUUCAUCAUAUAAGCAGAGAAAAAUUUUUUGUUAUGAAGGCGGUGAAUCCGCCUUCCGCCUUCUCACCGUCAAUAUAAUUAGUAAAGACGGUGAAUGGUUCACCAUCUUUUACUCAUUUAAUAUUUUUUUCUAUAUCUCGUAUAUAAUCUUAACAACCAAAUAAAAAUUAUAACAAAUCACAUAUAAUUUUAGCAAUAUAAAAAUCCUAACAAUCUAUCCAUAUAAUCCUAACAAUCAAAUAAAAAUUCUAAUAAUUCAUAUAUAAUUCUAAAAAUCUCUUUUUUUUUUCCUAUCUUCUAUCUAACAACCUUAUAUUUUUCUGUACCUGUAUGUAGGUUGUAUGGAAAAUAGAAAAAAGUGAGGUUGUUAGAUGAAAAAUAAAAAAAAAUGAGGUCCUUAGGAUUAUACGUGGAUUAUAUGGAAAAGAGAAAGAGUUGAGAUUUUUCGUAUGAAAUCUUUAUUUGAUUGUUAGAAUUGUAUGGAUAAAUUAUUAGGAUUUUCAGAUUGUUAAGAUUAUAUAUGAUUUGUUGUAAUUUUUAUAUUAGAAUUGUAUGGAUAGAUUAUUAGGAUUUUCAUGUUGUUCAGAUUAUAUGUGAUUUAUUAUAAUUUUUAUGUGGUUGUUAAGAUUGUAUAUAGGAUAUAGAAAAAAUAUUAAAUAAGCAAAAUAUGGUGAACCAUUCACCGUCUUUGAUAAUUACAUUAGUACUGAAGGCGGUGAACGAUUCACUGCUUUUAUAAAAAAUUUAUUACUACUGAAAACGGUGAAC
rnacentral:lncRNA from 1 species